GGAAUAUUGGACAAUGGGGGGAACCCUGAUCCAGCCAUGCCGCGUGUGUGAAGAAGGCCUUUUGGUUGUAAAGCACUUUAAGCGAGGAGGAGGCUCCCAGUAUUAAUACUACUGGAGAGUGGACGUUACUCGCAGAAUAAGCACCGGCUAACUCUGUGCCAGCAGCCGCGGUAAUACAGAGGGUGCAAGCGUUAAUCGGAUUUACUGGGCGUAAAGCGUGCGUAGGUGGCCAAUUAAGUCAAAUGUGAAAUCCCCGAGCUUAACUUGGGAAUUGCAUUCGAUACUGGUUGGCUAGAGUAUGGGAGAGGAUGGUAGAAUUCCAGGUGUAGCGGUGAAAUGCGUAGAGAUCUGGAGGAAUACCGAUGGCGAAGGCAGCCAUCUGGCCUAAUACUGACACUGAGGUACGAAAGCAUGGGGAGCAAACAGGAUUAGAUACCCGAG
rnacentral:rRNA from 1 species